ACUCAGCGGCGGAGGCACGCCCUUUCUCAGGACAGGCUGUCCUGGCUCGCAGCUGCCGUUGUUUGGGUUGCCUGGCAACCCGAGCGAAACAGCGAGGGGCGGUGCUGGAAGCGGUGGAAGAGGAGGCGCGACGGCAGGCAGAAGCUGGAACAACCACCCAACUCUCCCCUGUGUUUCUCAUCGCCCCGCCAUGAUCGUGAUAAUUCCGUUCUCAGGCAUCCCCAUCUUCCUAGUGAGAAGAAUGGCAGAUUUGUCUUUACAAACAAGCUAUGGGUCUGCAGGUGGCUCAGGGGUGAUCUUGGAGCCUGUCAGUGCCGGUGCUCAGCUGCCAGGCCAUCCACCGCUGUGGGACAUGCUAUCGAUCUUCAUCCAUGUCACUGUCAGCAUCCCGUGGCAACAGCACACAGGACAGCCUUGAAGAAGGUGAGGAGGGUGGGCCACCUGGAAGUGAUGAGGGUUGAUGUAAACGUUGUCGUGGAUGCGAUCACGGACUGGAGAACCAGAAGAUAAUGGGCGUGGAUCUCGUGCCAGUGCUUUUAUUAUUCUCUGUUCCAGGAUGUUUUCUUCUGUAUUUCUCUCCUUAAGAUGCUGUAAACUAACCAAAUUGCUAAGAAUACAAUUAGUAAGAUUA